CUCUUAACAUUACCUUUGAAAUACCAAUAUUUUUGCAUCAAACAGGAACGUCUAUCUCUGUCCGUCGAGGAUGUUUUGAUUGACAGACGGCCCGUCGAAUUUCAGCCUUCAAUCGCAUUGUUCAAUCCGACAUUCCAACAUUCCGCACUCCCCAUUGUGUGGCAAUGUGGCCUUUUGGCCCAAUGCUGCCAAUUGUCCCGCCGCUGCACCUUUAUGGUCCAUUGCAUCCGGGCUGGGGCUCAAUGAAAUUUGCAGCAAAGCUGCUGAGCCAAUGGAAAAAACAGGAGCCGUCCAGAAUGCGGAUAAUAAAGUAGAAAUGAAAUGCAAUCAAAGAGCAGGCCAGAAAGCGCAACAGGCAAAGUGCUCACACAGCACACGCAAGCGGAAAUGCGAAUGGUGGCCAUUUUGUCCCCGUGUAGGUAGGCAGUGCUGCUAACGGUACCUUGUUGUUAUUUUACACUGAGAGAAAUGAAUGCUCGCUU
ensembl:ncRNA lncRNA:CR45678 long non-coding RNA:CR45678